AGGCGCAAGAUUAAAAUUGGCACUCGUGCCAACUUGUGACUACAAGACAGGAGCUAUCGUUGGGCGCAGGUGGAAGCCUCUUGGAAAAGAGCACCGGCGAUGGUUAGGGUCCCGCUCAUCAUCUGCUGCCCCUCGUGCACAGCUGCUGCUCGCAGAGUCGUGCUCCUCGGGAUUGGAGCGCAAUAUGGGUGGUACUCUUCACCCAACGCUGAACACACGCCCAAAACCGAUAGCAAACAAGUACCAUGAGGGAAAGAUGAAAAGGACUUUGGAAAGAAAGGUAACAGUGCCUGCACUCGCUGGGUGUGAAGUGAAUUGAGGGAGUCUUGUUGGCUGGAUUGCGUUCUUCUGACUGGCCAUGCCUGCUCUCGCGCGUGCGUGUGUGUGGUGCUCAGGCCAUCUGAAGUUUGUGUCUCUUGCUGCAGUUGUUGGCCUUGCUUUUCUGAUGGGUGAGUACAAUGGGGUGUGCAGUGCUGCUGCGGGAGCUCUCAUACCUGCAUUCUUUCCCGUUGUGAAGCUGCAUCUUCAAAGCUCAGGGCUGUGCUUAGCUGCGCAAGCUGCUGCUGCUUUGAGGGCCUCACAAAAGACCUUGAUUCGCCCCGUCUUGAAACACGGGCCAAGGAGUCUAACGUGUGUGCAAGUUACCGAGUUUGAAGCUCGCGAGCGAAAGGAAAGGGAGUGCUUGGAUAUCUGCACCAGCAACCAACUGACCCAUUGAGUGAUGUUUGUGGGUGAGCAGACGCGUUAGUACCCGAAAGGUGGUGAACUAUGCCUGAGAUAUGUGAAGUCAGGGGAAACUCUGAUGGAAGUUCGUAGCGAUAUUGACGUGCAAAUCAUUCGUCUUACUUGGGUAUAGGGGCGAAAGACUAAUCGAACCAUCUAGUAGCUGGUUCCCUCCGAAGUUUCCCUCAGGAUAGCUGGAGCUGGGCAGUUUUAUCAUGUAAAGCCAAUGACUAAAGGCAUUGGGGGCAAGUUGCCCUUGACCUAUUCUCAAACUUUUAAUGGGUAAGCUCCGCAAGUUUCUUUGCUGCGGUUGUGGAUGGAAUGCCAGCUCCACGUGGGCCAUUUUUGGUAAGCAGAACUGGCGAUGAGGGAUGAGCCUGACAUUGGGUUGUUGUGCUCAACUGCUUGCUCAUGGGAUGCCACAAAGGGUGUUGGUUCAUACAAACAGCAGGACGGUGGUCAUGGAAGUUGAAAUCCGCUA
rnacentral:rRNA from 1 species